rnacentral:rRNA from 1 species
GGGGAAUAUUGGACAAUGGGCGAAAGCCUGAUCCAGCAAUGCCGCGUGAGUGAUGAAGGCCUUAGGGUUGUAAAGCUCUUUUACCCGGGAUGAUAAUGACAGUACCGGGAGAAUAAGCCCCGGCUAACUCCGUGCCAGCAGCCGCGGUAAUACGGAGGGGGCUAGCGUUGUUCGGAAUUACUGGGUGUAAAGGGUGCGCAGGCGGACUUAUAAGUCAGUGGUGAAAUCUCGGCGCUUAACGCCGAAACUGCCUUUGAUACUAUAAGUCUUGAGUUUGGUAGAGAUCCGUGGAAUUCCGAGUGUAGCAGUGAAAUGUGUAGAUAUUCGGAAGAACACCAGCGGCGAAGGCAGCGGAUUGGGCCAAUACUGACGCUCAGGCACGAAAGCAUGGGGAUCAAA